rnacentral:rRNA from 1 species
UACGUAGGGGUGCGAGCGUUUGUCCGGAAUUAUUGGGCGUAAAGAGCUCGUAGGCGGCCUGUUGCGUCGGUUGUGAAGCCCGGGGCUUAACCCCGGGUCUGCAGUCGAUACGGGCAGGCUAGAGUUCGGUAGGGGAGAUCGGAAUUCCUGGUGUAGCGGUGAAAUGCGCAGAUAUCAGGAGGAACACCGGUGGCGAAGGCGGUUCUCUGGGCAUGAUCUGACGCUGAGGAGCGAAGGUGUGGGGAGCGAACAGG